AAAUCUUUAAGGGUUCGCGAGGAUUCACCAUUAGCUCUUCACCAUUAGACACUCCAGCUCCGGGAUUCGAGGCCAAGGGUUGCGUUGGUUCGAUCUCGACAUCUUGAGUCAAAGGUUUCUUGCUGUUAUAAAGAAUCCGAAGGUAGAUUUAUUUAAUGAUCGCCCUUAUGCUUUUUUUCUUUGGUAAUUUGUUUCUUAGCAUCAGCAUUGCAUUCCCCUGUUGCUGGUGCAUAUAUUUUUUCUUGUGUAUCCUGAGAUGAAGAUAGAAAAUUGUUUGCUUCUCUAUGAGAAGAACUGCAUUAUAGAUGUUGCUUCCUGCUAAUUUAUAGAAGAGUCAUGUAUUUUUAAAUUGAACUAUUUUGUAAUGUAUUCCCAUUACCUUUUCUCUGCUUGUGUUGGUUUUGGAUACACAAGAACCAAAAAGAAAAAUCUCAUUGCAAUCCUCUUGUGCUUCCUUGUUUGCACAAAUAGGUUAUGUAAGUUGCACAGUUAAAAUUUUCAAUUGUUUGUUAUCAUGUUAAAGUGGUGACCCAAUCAAUUGAACUUGUCAUUUAGAUUGUUUUGGAAAUUUUUAGUUUCUGAUGUAAUUUUGAUAUUUCUAUGCAUAGUUGAUGUUUUGUAGUAUUUUAGUGAAUCUUCGGUACAAAAGUUUGAUUAGUAAUUUUGCAUCUCAAAAAGCUUGACGAAUUAGGUUUAAAUAAAAUUUUCAAAUAUUUUAUACUUAUUAAAAAAAUUAUUAUUUUAAAAAAAGAUCUCUCUUGAUGAUUUUGCCCUAGGCUCCCAAAUGCAAUGGGUCGCCCCUGAUCGAAGUUAUGUUGGACCAGAGACCGAAUACCUUUUCAAAGGGGACAAAUGAUUUCAACAAUCUGGUAUCUACAAAUAUUUCUUGCGAUCAUACACCUUGGCCUAAUCUACUUGCAUAAAUUGUGGUUCUCCAACAUGACAAGCGAACAAGGUCAGCUAAAUUCAGUUACCAUAAGGCAUAUUGAUGGCUGGAUGCUUCACAAGCGUGCAGAGCGUUGAUUGAAGGCACACUACUUGCCAAACUCGAGGAUUAUUCUUCUUUUGUGGGCCUCCUAAGUAAGAUUGUGUCAACCAUGUGUAAGGGCCCAUAUUUUUUUGGGGGGCUGGGAUGGCCCGACACACAUGAAACGGGAGGGAGACUCCCGAACAAUGUCUUCCCUCCCCUGUUUCAACUCCUCUCCGAAUCCAUCGGAAGGAAGGAAAAAAUAAAUAAACAGAGGAAAAACUGG
rnacentral:lncRNA from 1 species